rnacentral:lncRNA from 1 species
UCUUCCUUGAUUUUUAAUAACAUGAAUCAUUCAGACUUUUUACAUAUCUUGAGAACAUAUACAUAUAUGUUUGCCUUUAGACAUGAGUGUAGGAGGCGUGCCUUGUUCCUCUCACAUUAGAUAGAUUGCAUACACACUUAACACAUACCUCAAUAUGAACCUCACCGUAGGUCACAAUUUGGAAUCCAACAUCUUAGCUACAAUAUCAUAAUACGAUAUAUCAUACUGAUCUUGAAGUAAUCCUUGUGCAAUGCUUCCCAAAACCUGAGAGGGAUAAGUACAAAGAAAGAAUAAAUGAUUUUUAGAUUCCAUUGGUGCUCGACAAAAUACUCACAAAGUAUCCACAUUCGUGUUCCACAAACUCAUUCUGUUGUUGCUUUGUCGUCGCAUUCUUAAAUGAUUAUGCAUUGCAAACCACACAAGCAAGAAGUACUUGGGAGUUGCGUGAGAGAACCAUACUCUUUGUACCAUUCGUUCGCUGGCUUCACUUAAU